GACGAACGCUGGCGGCGUGCUUAACACAUGCAAGUCGAACGGAAAGGCCCUGCUUUUGUGGGGUGCUCGAGUGGCGAACGGGUGAGUAACACGUGAGUAACCUGCCCUUGACUUUGGGAUAACUUCAGGAAACUGGGGCUAAUACCGGAUAGGAGCUCCUGCUGCAUGGUGGGGGUUGGAAAGUUUCGGCGGUUGGGGAUGGACUCGCGGCUUAUCAGCUUGUUGGUGGGGUAGUGGCUUACCAAGGCUUUGACGGGUAGCCGGCCUGAGAGGGUGACCGGCCACAUUGGGACUGAGAUACGGCCCAGACUCCUACGGUAGGCAGCAGUGGGGAGUAUGACACAAUGGGCGGAAGCCUGAUGCAGCAACGCCGCGUGCGGGAUGACGGCCUUCGGGUUGUAAACCGCUUUCGCCUGUGACGAAGCGUGAGUGACGGUAAUGGGUAAAGAAGCACCGGCUAACUACGUG
rnacentral:rRNA from 1 species